rnacentral:misc_RNA from 1 species
GGCCCAGUGUUCCCUCACCGCCUCCAGCAUGGCGAUCAGCGCGAUCGCACCACCCAGCGCCGUAAAAAUAUGAACGCCGAAUGCGCGCAUGCGCAUUCUGGCGGGAAACGGGGGCUGGUCCNNCGGGCUCGCUCAUAUGCUCUCGUGACUAACAGGAUUCCCGGCAUUUUGCAUAUCCGGUAUCGCCUCCUCACUUUGUGACAAAGCGCGAACCGGAUUUGCCUUAAAUGCCC